rnacentral:rRNA from 1 species
GACGAACGCUGGCGGCGUGCUUAACACAUGCAAGUCGAACGGGCCUGUCUUCUUUUUUGGGGGUGGGUUGAGUGGCGAACGGGUGAGUAUCACGUGAGUAACCUGCCCUUCGGUCCUGGAUAACCGCUUGAAAGGGCGGCUAAUACGGGGUGGUCCGGUUGGUCCGCAUGGGCUGGUCGGGAUAGAUUCACUGUUUUUGGUGUUUCGGCGGGGGAUGGGCUCGCGGCCUAUCAGCUUGUUGGUGGGGUGAUGGCCUACCAAGGCGGUGACGGGUAGCCGGCCUGAGGGGGUGGGCGGCCACACUGGGACUGAGAUACGGCCCAGACUCCUGCGGGAGGCAGCAGUGGGGGGUAUUGCACAAUGGGCGGAAGCCUGAUGCAGCGACGUCGCGUGAGGGAUGGAGGCCUUCGGGUUGUGAACCUCUGUUUCCGGUGGUGAAGGCCCUGUCCGUGUGGUGGGGUUGACGGUAGCCGGGGAUGAAGCGCCGGCUAACUACGUG